GGUAGGUGGAAACACUGCUACCCCGCAAGGGGGUCCAGUCGAGGUGCUGCAUGGCUGUCGUCAGCUCGUGUCGUGAGAUGUUGGGUUAAGUCCCGCAACGAGCGCAACCCUUGUCCUGUGUUGCCAUCAUUCAGUUGGGAACUCGCAGGAGACCGCCAGCGAUAAGUUGGAGGAAGGUGGGGAUGACGUCAAGUCCUCAUGGCCUUUAUGUCCAGGGCUACACACGUGCUACAAUGGCCGGUACAAAGCGUCCCGAACCCGCGAGGGGAAGGCAAUCGCAAAAAACCGGUCUCAGUUCGGAUUGCAGGCUGCAACUCGCCUGCAUGAAGCUGGAAUCGCUAGUAAUGGCAGAUCAGCACGCUGCCGUGAAUACGUUCCCGGGCCUUGUACACACCGCCCGUCACAUCACGAAAGUGGAUUGUACUAGAAGUCUGCAGGCUGACCCGCAAGGGAGGCAGCGGCCCAAGGUAUGAUCCAUGAUUGGGGUGAAGUCGUAACAAGGUAAGCGUAGUGCU
rnacentral:rRNA from 1 species